rnacentral:rRNA from 1 species
AGAAUCAACGCUGGCGGCGUGCCUAACACAUGCAAGUCGAACGAGAAAGUGGAGCAAUCCAUGAGUAAAGUGGCGCACGGGUGAGUAACACGUGACUAACCUACCCUUGAGUGGGGGAUAACCUAGAGAAAUCUGGGCUAAUACCGCAUAAUACCUUCGGGUCAAAGGAGCAAUUCGCUUAAGGAGGGGGUCGCGGCCGAUUAGUUAGUUGGCGGGGUAAUGGCCCACCAAGACUAUGAUCGGUAUCCGGCCUGAGAGGGCGCACGGACACACUGGAACUGAAACACGGUCCAGACUCCUACGGGAGGCAGCAGUGGGGAAUUUUGCGCAAUGGGGGAAACCCUGACGCAGCAACGCCGCGUGGAGGAUGAAGUCCCUUGGGACGUAAACUCCUUUCGAUCGGGACGAUUAUGACGGUACCGGAAGAAGAAGCCCCGGCUAACUUCGUGCCAGCAGCCGC